rnacentral:rRNA from 1 species
UGACGUCAAAUCAUCAUGCCCUUAUGACCUGGGCUACAAACGUGAUACAAUGGCUGAAACAAAGGGCAGCGAAGGAGCGAUCUGGAGCGAAACCCAAAAAAGCAGUCUCAGUUCGGAUUGAAGGUCUGCAACUCGACUUCAUGAAGUCGGAAUCGCUAGUAAUCGCGGAUCAGCAUGCCGCGGUGAAUACGUUCCCGGGCCUU